AAACAUGACUUUGAUCUGCGUCCUCAUCUGGACUCUCCUCUGCUGCUGCUUCACAGAGUCCAGAGGACAGGUCACAGUGACUCAGCAGCCUGCAGCAGUGAGCUCUGCUAUUGGAGGCUCCGUCUCCAUCAGAUGCAGGACCAGUCAGGAUGUUUAUGGCAGUAGCUAUUUACACUGGUACCAACAGAGAGAUGGAGAAGCUCCUAAACUCUUCAUUUACUAUGUUAACACUCGGGAAUCAGGGAUUCCUGAUCGUUUUACAGGCAGUGGAUCAAACUCUGACUUCACUCUGACCAUCAGUGGAGUCCAGGCUGAAGAUGCAGCAGUUUACUACUGUCAGAGUUAUCACGAGAUCAACAGUAAAGAUGUGUUCACACAGUGAAAAAUGGUCGUACAAAAACCUCCCUCAGUCAGACUGAACAGAAACUGAACUGACUGCUGCAGCUGGAAGCUCCUGCAGAGACUGAUACACUUCAC